rnacentral:rRNA from 1 species
UACGGAGGGGCUGGCGUUGUUCGGAAUUACUGGGCGUAAAGCGCACGUAGGCGGAUCAGCCAGUCAGGGGUGAAAUCCCGGGGCUCAACCCCGGAACUGCCCUUGAUACUGCUGGUCUGGAGUUCGAGAGAGGCGAGUGGAAUUCCGAGUGUAGAGGUGAAAUUCGUAGAUAUUCGGAGGAACACCAGUGGCGAAGGCGGCUCGCUGGCUCGACACUGACGCUGAGGUGCGAAAGCGUGGGGAGCAAACAGGAUUAGAUACCCCUGUA